UCUGUGAAAUUAACUUUAAAUUUGAGUAAAUAAUUAGUAAGAGUUGGUAAAUAAAAUAUGUUAGAAAAUUAGUAUUUACAUUAGAAAGUAUAUAUAGUAAAGUGAUGGAUUUAAGUACCGAGAGGGAAAAUUUAAGAUAGGAUUGAAUAAGAAAAAAUUAAAUGUUGUUCCUUUUGUAUCAUGAUUUAACUAGAUUUAUUUCAAUAAAUUUUGUUUCCCGAAAUUAGUUGAGCUAUUAAAUUUUAUAUAGCUAAUGUGGCAAAAUUAGAUUUUAGUUUUUAAUAGAUGUUAAAUGCUUAUCGCAACUAAUGAUAGCUGGUUAAUUUGAAAAUAUAUUUUAGUAUAGCAUUAGAUGGUAAAUACUUGUUCUUAUUAGUAUUAAGUUCGAGUUGCAUCUAAUAGUUGGAUUUAGGGGGAUAAGCUCUUGAAUAUAUAAAGAAAUAGGUUUAAUUUGGUAUUUAAAGUGUGGGCUUAGAAUUAGCCAUCGUGAAUAGAAGUUUGUUUUAAAAUAUUGAUAUUUUUAAGAAUUAAAUAAUUUUAAAGUUUUCUUAAAAUAAACAAAUUUAUAUAAGAUGAAUAUUAAUAUCUUAUGAGAUACUGUUAAAAUGAGUAUAAUUUUAUCGGAAAUGGUUAAUUUAAAAUUUAAGUUAUUUAACUUUUAAUUUUUAAAUAUUUUUAAAAGAUAAAAAGGAACUCGGCAAAAUAUUUAGCUUCGCUUGUUUAUCAAAAACAUCUCUCUUUGUUAUUAAUUUAAAUAUAAGGAGUCGUGCCUGCUCAAUGAUUAUUAAAAUUAAAUAGCCGCAGUACCCUGACUGUGCAAAGGUAGCAUAAUCAUUUGCCCUAUAAUUGAGGGCUGGAAUGAAUGGUUUGACGAAAGCUUAACUGUCUUUUUAUUUUUAAUUAUAAAUUAAUUUUUAAGUGAAGAAGCUUAAAUAAAUAAAAGGGACGAGAAGACCCUAUUGAGUUUAAAUUUAUAAUUUUUAAGGUUUAUUUAUAUUAUAUAAAAUUAUUAUAAUUAUUAAAUUUUAGUUGGGGCAACUAAGGAAUAAAUAAAACUUCCUAAAGCAUAUAUUAGAAUUAUUGUUAUUGAUCCAUUGAAUAAAUAAUGAUUAAUAGAUAUAAUUACCAUAGGGAUAACAGCGUAAUUUUUUCUGAGAGUUCUAAUCGAAGAAGAAGAUUGCGACCUCGAUGUUGGACUAAGGGAUUCUUAGAGGAGCAAAAAUUUCUAAAGUAAGUCUGUUCGACUUUUAAAACCUUACAUGAUCUGAGUUCAGACCGGCGUGAGCCAGGUUGGUUUCUAUCUUUUUUAUAACAGAUUCUUAAUUAGUACGAAAGGACCAUUAAAUAAGAAUAAUUUUAAUAAAUUAAGUUAUAAGAUUUAGUUUAAAAUUUAUUUUAAAUAUAAUA
rnacentral:rRNA from 1 species